rnacentral:rRNA from 1 species
GAUGAACGCUGGCGGCGUGCCUAAUACAUGCAAGUCGAGCGAACAGACGAGGAGCUUGCUCCUCUGACGUUAGCGGCGGACGGGUGAGUAACACGUGGAUAACCUACCUAUAAGACUGGGAUAACUUCGGGAAACCGGAUCUAAUACCGGAUAAUAUAUUGAACCGCAUGGUUCAAUAGUGAAAGACGGGUUUGCUGUCUCUUAUAGAUGGAUCCGCGCCGAAUUAGCUAGUUUGUAAGGUAACGGCUUACCAAGGCAACGAUGCGUAGGCGCCCUGAGCGGGUGAUUGCCCACACUGGAACUGAGACACGGUCGAGACUCCGACGGGAGGCAGCAGUAGGGAAUCUUACGCAAUGGGGGAAAGCUUGACGGAGGAACGCCGCGUGAGUGAUGAAGGUGUUCGGAUCGUAAAACUAUGUUAUUAGGGAAGAACAAAUGUGUAAGUAACUAUGCACGUCUUGACGGUACCUAAUCAGAAAGCCACGGCUAACUACGUG